ACUUCCCCGACAUGUGUUGCAGGUGUAGCUGCUAUUUCCCAUGUGUGUCAUCAAGUGGCAGAGAAGAGAAAGGCUAUGUCUAUGUUCAGUGUUCUGAACUAUGAAAAUCUAAAUGUUUAGCAGCCUAACACU